ACUGGAACAACUUACCGAAAGGUGAGCUAAUGCCGGAUGAGUUAUAUAAGUGCAUGUUUAUAUAGGAAAAGUUGGGGAGACCUGACGCUGAAAGAUGGACUCGCGUCCCAUUAGCUAGUUGGUAGGGUAAUGGCCUACCAAGGCGACGAUGGGUAGCCGGCCUGAGAGGGUGGCCGGCCACACUGGGACUGAGACACGGCCCANACUCCUACGGGAGGCAGCAGUGGGGAAUUUUGCGCAAUGCUCGUAAGAGUGACGCAGCGACGCCGCGUGAAUGACGAAGGCCUUCGGGUCGUAAAGUUCUUUCGACAGGGAAGAAAAUGCCUAUAAGUAACUGUGUAUGUAUUGACGGUACCUGUAUAAGCAGCCCCGGCUAACUCCGUGCCAGCAGCCGCGGUAAUACGGAGGGGGCGAGCGUUGUUCGGAGUGACUGGGCGUAAAGAGCACGUAGGCGGUGUUGUAAGUCAUUAGUCAAAGACUAGAGCUCAACUUUAGUAAGGCUAGUGAUACUAUAAUACUAGAGUAUCAGAGAGGAUUGCAGAAUUCCUGGUGUAGCGGUGAAAUGCGUAGAUAUCAGGAGGAAUACCGUUAGCGAAGGCGGCAAUCUGGCUGGAAACUGACGCUGAGGUGCGAAAGCGUGGGUAGCAAACAGGAUUAGAUACCCUGGUAGUCCACGCUGUAAACGAUGGAUGCUAGGUGU
rnacentral:rRNA from 1 species